GAUGAACGCUGGCGGCGUGCCUAAUACAUGCAAGUCGAGCGAACAGAUGAGGAGCUUGCUCCUCUGACGUUAGCGGCGGACGGGUGAGUAACACGUGGAUAACCUACCUAUAAGACUGGGAUAACUUCGGGAAACCGGAGCUAAUACCGGAUAAUAUAUUGAACCGCAUGGUUCAAUAGUGAAAGACGGUUUUGCUGUCACUUAUAGAUGGAUCCGCGCCGCAUUAGCUAGUUGGUAAGGUAACGGCUUACCAAGGCAACGAUGCGUAGCCGACCUGAGAGGAUGAUCAGCCACACUGGAACUGAGACACGGUCCAGACUCCUACGGGAGGCAGCAGUAGGGAAUCUUCCGCAAUGGGCGAAAGCCUGACGGAGCAACGCCGCGUGAGUGAUGAAGGUCUUCGGAUCGUAAAGCUCUGUUAUUAGGGAAGAACAAAUGUAUAAGUAACUAUGCACGUCUUGACGGUACCUAAUCAGAAAGCCACGGCUAACUACGUG
rnacentral:rRNA from 1 species